rnacentral:lncRNA from 1 species
GGGCUCACUCUUCCUUCGCUAAGAAGAGAUGAGAUCUGAUGUGCAGUUUGUCUGCAAUCAGCCAGGCAGAUCAACCAAUCCAUCCUGUCACUUGCAGCGUGUCUCUGCUGCCUUCAGCUUUUAUUUUACAGAACGUACAUCUGCAAAAGAACUCGUGCAGGCGACGCACCCUGUGAGGAAAGCCCCACAUCCAUUACACACCGGUGAGAAACAGGACGUAUUUCUGGUGUGACAGAACUAACGCCAGUGACACCAGUGAACACAUGACCCGUCCCUACCGCCUUGUCCUACCGCGCACCUAUUUCUGUGCCCCGCCGCAUCACGUCGCCGUUGGGCAGCACGAUCCCACCUCACCGACCCGCCCCGCCGCCCCCCCGCAGCGCCGCGGUAACCCGGCAGGACGUCACUGCGCAUGCCCGGCCGCGCUGCCGCCCGCCAGCAGAGGGGAGGCCGCAGCAUCCCACUGACACCCUGCAGAUUCCUUUGCUGCCUGGGAUUCCUCAUCCCUUACUGACUUGACACUUCCCUUGCUGUUUC